CAGACCUGUAGCAGCAUGGCCCAAAAAGUUCCUCUGCUGCCCCAGUCCCAUACCUGCCUGAGGUACGGGGGUUCAGGCUGAGUCGGCUGACCUGGAGUCAUCUGGAAGCCUUGUCAGAAAUGCAGAUUCUGCAGUGCUGUUCCCAGAGGAUGAGAUUCAGCAGAACUGGGUGUUGGAUAUUAUAUGAAGAGAUUUGCAAGUGUUAUUUUACGUAAUUCGCACUUUACAAAGGAGGAAACUGCAGCGCAGGUACCAAGGUUGCCCCAUCUCGGUCCAGGCCUGCUCCCGG
rnacentral:lncRNA from 1 species